AAUUAGGUAGCUCAACUGGUUAGAGCAUCGAAUUCAUAUCCGCCUGAGGCGGUCGGCAGUUCAAGUCUGCUCCUAG
rnacentral:tRNA from 1 species